rnacentral:rRNA from 1 species
GAUGAACGCUGGCGGUAUGCUUAACACAUGCAAGUCGAACGGACUCUUCGGAGUUAGUGGCGGACGGGUGAGUAACGCGUGAGAAUCUGGCUUUGGGUUCGGGACAACCACUGGAAACGGUGGCUAAAACCGGAUGUGCCGAGAGGUAAAAGAGAAAUUGCCUGAAGAUGAGCUCGCGUCUGAUUAGCUAGUUGGUGAGGUAAAGGCUCACCAAGGCAGCGAUCAGUAGCUGGUCUGAGAGGAUGACCAGCCACACUGGGACUGAGACACGGCCCAGACUCCUACGGGAGGCAGCAGUGGGGAAUUUUCCGCAAUGGGCGAAAGCCUGACGGAGCAAUACCGCGUGAGGGAAGAAGGCUCUUGGGUUGUAAACCUCUUUUCUUAGGGAAGAACAAAAUGACGGUACCUAAGGAAUCAGCAUCGGCUAACUCCGUG